GUGGCCUGCCGGCCACAUCGUCUCCAAACGGGCCGCUCACGGUGAAGUCCUGCACGGAUCACUAGUCUGUCGGUUGCUCGCCCUGCCUGCACGCUGCUGCGGCUUAGCGGUUACCGAGUGAGCUAAAUGCUAACAGACACCGCUGCGACCAAUUAACAAUACAAAUCCUGUCGUUAUAUAUGUAAUUUAUGAAAGGUUUCUAGUGUCAGUGUAUUGGCCGUGCAGUGUCUGCGUUAGCUUCUCCAUGACCGAACAGAGCACGCCGCCAUGUUAGAGCGGUUAAGCUCAAAAUGCUUCCCUAUACUUUUUGACAAGCGUCCUUGGCGGGACGGCCACAGCUUCUUUACAGCUGAAGUCGGCGGCGGUGUAAUCUUUUCUUUAACUGUCAAUGCUUUUAACUUGUCGUGCGCCGUGGAUGGACUGACAUUUAAUUUAUCAAGUGUGCUCAGCGGUUGUAGUGGUGUGUCCUUCACUUCUACAAAGACACUCCUGUCCCAGCCCAUGGUUUGGUAAAAAUACAUUUGGACCCCUGAUCAGCAUACAUCAUAAAUGGGCAAAAGGAAUCAUUCAUUGAAGACCUAAUGUUAUCCUAUCAAGACGUUGGGCAUUUCCGAAUUUCUGGGCGACUCAUUACUUGCCUUGAAGACUUCUUUGGUGUUGAAGGGAUCACAGACGAGUUUCUCCAUGUUUCCUCCAGCCAAGAAGAUGGUGGUCACCACUCCCAUCAGCACCCAGGAGAAGAUGAUGCUAAAUCCAACGCCGCUAUGGAGAAAGACAGACAGGCCCUCAGGGGCUCUCUGUCUUCCUGACCCUUGGCCCCUUUUCCACCCAGAGGGCAGACACAGGAUACCUGAGGUGCAGCCCAGAUGCGAGAUUGGUGGAGCAGCGAUCAGGCUGAGGACGUUCAACGUGGACUCUUUCUCACUUCUACAAGUGCAUUAUUGAGAUGAUUCUAACCAGUUGCAUCACCAUCUACAGAGGGUUGUGAAAACUCCUCAGCUUAUCGCCAGGACGGAGCUGCCAUCCAUGGAGGACCCAGCGGUGUAGGCAGAAGGAUCCCAGUAUAGCAGCAUCCGGUCCUACACCAUCAGGCCAAGGGACAGCUUCAUACUGCUGCCCUUAAGACUUUGUAAUCCUGAGCUCAUCACUUUGACAUUAUCAUUCUACCUUUAUAUGAUGGACUCCUCUCACCACUUUUACAGGCUGUUAAAAUUAAAAUUCCCUGUUUUGUCUUGCAUGAUU